GCCGCCGGCCGCCCGCCGCCCCGCGCCGGGACAGGGGUUCGCUCCAGCCGCGGCGCCGCAGCCCCGAGCCCGAGAGCCAGCGAGCGAGCGAGCGAGCGCCGCGCCGGGCCAGCCACCUGACGCAGCCCGCUCCGCGGUGCCGAGCGACUGAGUGUCCCCGCCGAAGAGCAGCGCUCCUAACCAGCCCGAUGACGCCCCAGCCUCUUCAGAGGACGGACCCACAGCGGCGGCCCCUAUAAACCGAAGGGGAAGCCGAAAAAUCGGCCCGCCGAGGACGUGCCCAAACAGGCCGCCGCGCACCCAGGGGGUGUGGGCCGGUGUGGGGGCGACACGGGAGUGGGUAGGGGGCGCGGGGGGCGCAGCAGCGGGAGGCGCGGGGGCGCCCAAGGCGGUGGGCACCGGACCCCGCCUCCCAGACCUGCCUCCCAAUUUUCGGUGAGUGGUGUAGCCCUUGGCGGCGUGCAAAGUGUGCGACGGCGGCGCUUACCCCUGCUGCGCGCCUCCUUACCUCCAGCUUCCCGGUUAGCGCACGCGGGGACAGCCACCCACCCCUCCCUCACGGCGGCGCGCGCCCGUGGAGGGUUGCAGUGACCUAACAUCAAGAAUUAAAACUCUAGAAAACUGGCCCUUCACAAGUAUAAAACAGGAACACCUUGACAGGUGGGGGCCACAGGGCAAGCGUUUCACCGAGUCCCUUGGUCAGACCCAGGGUGAGAAAUCAGCAGUCACCCAGGAAAGUAGCUGAUUUUUGAGGGAACUUGGCAACCAUGAAGGAGGGUGAGUGGGACUCUACACCAAACCUUUGGGGUUCUGGCGUAACGUCAACAUGCCGCUAAGAGGGCAUCCCUGAAGCGUCAAAGGCCAGCCUGAGCAAACUGCACUGUACCCACAGGGUGUCCUGGUCAGCGCAGGGAAGGAAGAAGGUUGGGUUGUGCUCUGUCAAGCCAAGAGGGAUCCAGACGAAGCUCCCCUGGUCCAUCCCACUGACCACACAGGCCCUGGACCCCUAUCACCUGGCAAGAUGGCGCCAAAUGGCCAAUGGAGAGAGAAUCAGCUGUGGAGGCUGUCGGAUCUUCCACCUUGGAGACUGGUUCCAUCUCACUGAGAUGAUGGCUGAAGAUAUCAACCAACUCAAAGCAAUGUUAGGUUUUUUGCAUUCUUAUCCCGAAAAGAUCAUCUCUAUCUUCAGAGUAAUGGGAUUUUUAAAUAAUUGGACUUCCUGGAACUGCUUCCAAAAGCCUAGCCGUGAAAGAAACUUUCAAAGGAAGUUGAUAUAAACCUUAGUUAGGACCCGAAGACAUCUAAUCUGCAGGUUAAACGGAUCCUUGAUUUACUCAAAACCAUUAAAGCAGCCCAAAGUCUAGAAAAACUUCACUGACGCAAAAUUCUUAUCAUGACGUUAUUAACCCGUGCCUCAGGGGGGCGCCCCAUGGUAGAGUAAUUUAAAGAAAUCCUCAGCCUUAAAAGUGAGUUUCUUAAAUGGUUUUCUAUUAAUUAAGCCAGUAAUUAUUCUAAAUAUAUCAUUUCAAUGAGCUGCCAUGAGUUCGUUGAAUGCAAAAUAUGCAAAAACCAGAUUGUUGACUGACUACUGUGAUCCCCAAGGACACUUAAUGUUUUAAUCUCAGAUAUAAGAUGCCUUCAUAUUUCAUUUACCCUACACAUUCUUAAAUGUGUUACGUAAAUGUGUUUUCCUCAACCUGGCAUAACUACAUACCUGCUAUAUUUACUGAGGGUACAGAAGGCAGAGAGGGGAACUUUGUUAAAAAAAAAAAAGCAGCAGCCUAAAAAAUGACUAAAGAAUAGAACUCUACAACAAAAAUUUAGUUUCUAAAAUGGAUGCCAAAGGCAGAAGAGAUUUUGAGAGAAAAACAUACGUAUAAUUUCUAAAACAUGUAAAGAAGGACAGUAAAUCUGCAAAUGAAAAAAAAGAAGCUUCCAGCAGCAAGCAAACCCAAGGGUUUCAAACAAAAAAAUCACUCGGAUUGAUAGUAAUUGAACCCUUGCUUAACCUUUCUCCCAAUACCUGAUAAUUCUGUGAGAUCACCCAGCUGUCAUUCUCUUCCUUUUACAAAUGUGACAUUGAUUUGUCUGGCAAAGACGUAUUAGAAUUCUGAGGUCUGAUUGAUGGGGCUACUAAUAAAUCUAAAUCAUCAAUUCUUGACCUUUUUUCCCUGAAAUUCUUGGUAUGUGGUAAAUUGCUGAAAACACAUUUUCAAGGUUCUGUGAUUGUAACAUAAAAAUAAGGAUCAAGGCUGGGGAGCUUUGCUGGUCUGAAUACAUCUGGGCUCUCUCUGCCCUGCCUGCACCGCAGAGGGAAAAUACGUGAGAUCGAUUAGAAACAGUAUCUGGGGGUCGUAUCGAUGCUUUGCUUUGGGCUGAGCUGUUUGCAAACAGAAAUGAACUGCACACGACUGAAGAAGUCCUAAAGGGAGAUGUGCCAAGGAGCCAUUACCCCAUGGCGUGCCUCUCCUCGACUCCCGCCCUCCCCCAACUGCCUGCCUGCUUACUGAGGUGAGAGAGCAGGACAAUUUGUAGCCCAGAGAGUCUAAAUUGGCUAUCCACACGAGAGAGAAAGAAAGAAAGAAAAGAUUGAUGAUCUAGUCCUAGUUUUGGUGACUUUGAGAUAAAAGGAUGGAGGACGGGGCGGUGUCGGCUUUUUCAAGAAACCGAAUCAUGGAUACUUUUCCUAUAAAAGCAGCACUUAUCCUUAUCUUUCACUGGCUAGGUUAAGCUGGUUACAACCUAAGACAAAACGAGGGCAGGUGGCUGCAGGUGGCUUCAGCUCCCUCUAAAUUCUAAGAUGGCUGCAGGCACCAGACAAACCUUGACCCUGGGAAUGAAGCUGCCAAGAGCCUGGUCAUAGGAUUUCUCUAGGCAUGGUUCUCCCUCCCAGCGCCUGCCUGUAAGGACCGGCUUGCUACUUCACCUCUCCUUCCCUCUGCAGCAGACUUCAGAUGGUCACUGCAGAAAAAGAAGAAGAUGCCAACAUCUUGUUCGUGCCCUCCCUGUCUGGUCCCUCAGAGCACAGGCUGGAUUCUACGUCUGUUCCUUCAAUUCAUAAAAAGUUUAUCUACAGCCUUUGAGCUGUGCUGGGGUCAUGUUAGGGUAGGUGGUCGGAUGAGCUCCUCCUCUCAAAUACUCAGGCAAACUGGCCAUCUGUAGACAAACAACCAGAUGCUUUUUCACAAUUGAACUUUUGACCAAUUUGAGUGGAUGCUUCAGCGUCAAGACGACAAAAACUCAAGUCAAAAAGGUCACCAAGAAUAGGAAAUUUGUGGGCGACAAAAAGCUGUAUGACAGUGGGAAGCAUUACAUUUUCCUAGCAAUGAAAAUCUGAGUUUUCAGAUUGUGCUAAACGACUCAAAAUUUGCCAGAGCGAAGCCACAGCAGAAAGAAUGGAUUUUUAAAAAGGUUAUAUUGUUCCUAUUUAUUUGGCUUUGCUGCUGCCAGAAAGCGGCUUGGAGCCCUCCUUUUUAGCACUCUACAAAAUAUAAAUGGUCUAAAUUAAGCAGCUAUCUAAUCUCAACCAAUAUUAAUUCUGACAUGAAAAAUGAGACCAACUUUUCCGACAGGAUUAUGAUCUCUGCUGCCUGACAUGAACCCAUCACCUCACUACGUUUCUCAAAAAACAGAAUAUUCUCCUUUUCCAAAGUGCCUAUUUAUUUCUACAAGGGGACAAAAUCCUCAAGCACUUUUCUGAUUCUGACAUUGAAAAGGCAUCAACUCCUAAAGUGGCAUGCUUUUGACCCCCAGACUCUGCCAGCUUCUAUAUCUUUCUUUUUUCUCUCCAAACGAAAAUCGCUCUAAAAUAAAAUAUCUAAGCACCCCCAAGGGUCAUAAGUCAGGAUGCUGCCCUCGUAUCUUUCUCCUUGCAGACUGAACUGCCGGCCUCUAAUAUUGUUUUCCAAGUGAAAAAGGGGAAAACGGGUUUCAACAUAUUUUUCUAGUGUUUUCCCCUUAACUGGUCCAGUGAAAUCAGCCCGAGCACAGGGCCUCCAGCUCCAUAGCAGGCAGAAUCACCGUGUAUCUAGACAGAGACAGGAUUUGCAUUUCAGCUCGGCUCGGAUGGGGAAUCUGCAGUUGCUGCAGGGACGGGAGCAUCUCGGCGGGCGCACCCCUGCAGUACGGCCUCGCAGUCUCAAGACCACUGCCCCUCCAGCAGAUUCUGCAGGUGUUGCAUUUUGCUUGUUAAUCCUCUUGUUGAGCACAAGAGAUAAAGUGGUUUGACUCGUAAAUGUCCAUAAUUUACCUGCCACAAAGCCCCAAGUCCCUGCUGUUUCAUUAUCCGCUGCCCUUUAAUAAUCAUCAAAAUGAGAAGUGUCUCUAGCAGCAUGACAAUUUAGUGAGGGGAAUAAGGAACCCCAGAAAAUCACAAAUUGUUUGGGGAAAGUUGCCGUGGAGGGUGCCUCCAUAGGGGGAAAAUAAUGCUCAUUGGUGUUUAAUUCAAGACUGUGGGGUGCUCUCAGCAGUGACAUCACGUUUAACAGAGACAUUGUGUAAUUCAGUUAUAGAAAAGCAGCUGAGAUGAGCAGGUUCAAAUCAUCUCUCCUGCUCUGUGUAAUUCUCUGCUCCAGGCUCUGGAAGCAGCCUGCCUUUCUGUUGCACGGCAUGAACGAGCCCUAAAACGGAGGAAGGAGGUAAAGGGAUGCGAGAGAUGCACCUUCCACGUCUAUUUUUUUUUUCCUGUGGGAUCCCUGGGGACCUCGCAGCUAACCUGGAUGCACUUUGCUCCUCUUUCUUACAUUCCCAUUCCCAAGGCUCUUUUCAGCUGAGAGAGUCUAGGAUUCUCUUUGAUUUCUCUCUAAACAUUGGCAGUCCAGAAUCCCAGGGCCACUUCUGGGGCUUGUGGCAACCCACUAGGAAGCCUCCUAUGGACUCAAUGCCUAAGGUCAGGGUGGGGAUUAGACAGGCCCAGGAGGGUGGGAGUGGAAAUGGGCCCUUUCAUGCCUGAGCUCACGGAGGCCUAUUAACCUCUGGUUCUCCAACUUUCUUCCCACCCUAAAUGGCCUCCCCGCAUCAGAACAUCAGUUCUGAAGCCUGCAGGGCUCUCUGUGGCCCUCUCUGCAGCUCCAAGGCCCUUGAAUGUCUAUUUGAACUACACACCUGACUUUAAAGAAAAACACCAUUUCCAACAAUGGGGUGUGUGACCACUGAAAACCCCUCCACUGCUUUCAAAGCCAGUGGAGCAGAACACAAGCUGGACUCCCCGCCUCGGAGUUAAAGUCACAGCUCAGCCCACAGAAGGGAAGGGAGAAACCAGCAGCCUGUGGCUUGCUAAGUUCUGCCCUAUGAGCCCUUCCUAUUCAUGGUGCACCCCUGGCUCAAAACAGCAAGGCCUGACCACAGACCUGGUGAUGGGACCCGGGACCGGGAGGGGCUGGCGCCCCUCCCCAAGGGCGUCUAUCCAUCACUCUGCCCUGACAGCCCGCUUUGCACUCUGCCGCGAGGCAGCUAACAUCUCUUUCAGAGGUCCCUUCCCUUCCCCCCACCACAAGCCUCCUCUGUAAAAACCAAAAAGCAUCUUGUUCUUUCAUCAUAAUUAAAGUGCUGUCAGGAAAAUGGCA